rnacentral:rRNA from 1 species
GUAGAACAAAAGGGUAAAAGCCAACUUGAUUUUGAUUUUCAGUAUGAAUACAAACCGUGAAAGCGUGGCCUAUCGAUCCUUUAGUACUCUAGAAUUUUGAGCUAGAGGUGUCAGAAAAGUUACCACAGGGAUAACUGGCUUGUGGCAGCCAAGCGAUCAUAGCGACGUUGCUUUUUGAUUCUUCGAUGUCGGCUCUUCCUAUCAUUGUGUCGCAGAAGUCACCAAGUGUAGGAUUGUUCAC